rnacentral:rRNA from 1 species
UACAGAGGGACCAAGCGUUGUUCGGAUUUACUGGGCGUAAAGCGUGCGUAGGCGGUUUCUUAAGUCUGCUGUGAAAUCCCCGGGCUCAACCUGGGAAUGGCAGUGGAUACUGGGGAGGCUAGAGUGUGUCAGAGGAUGGGUGGGAAUUCCCCGGGUGUAGCGGUGAAAUGCGUAGAUAUCUGGAGGAACACCGGUGGCGAAGGCGGCAUCCUGGGAC